ACAGUCGUAGAUCAGUUUCCAUUUCACUGUUGACACAAUCGGCAGCGGCUCUGGCUCUGCCUCUGGUUCUGGCAUCUCCUAUGGCUCCUGAAUGAUGCUCAGGAAACAAUCGAAACCGAGACACCUCUCACAGAACAAGACAAAAUACAUAAUUCGGAACAAGAUCUUCGCCCUGGGCUCCCCCGAAGAGAGGGGAGAACACGAACACAUACUUUGGGAUUGUGCCGCGAGAGGGCCCUGAGACAAUGGUUAUUAAUCAGUUGCCGAUAAUGCCAGACAAGAGUCUUGAAUAAAAACUCACAGACCCCAGAUGGAGCAGGCGAAGAGGAGAGGUGUGUGUGUGUGCACUGUGCCCCGAAGAUGUGUCACAGUCACACUUUUGUUGUUAAUUGAACGUGGCAUGCAUCCCCAUACCCAUACCCAUACCUAUACCCAUGCCCCUGCUCUUGCCCCCUGCUCAAGUGGCAUCCGCACUAAUGCCGGAUUCAUGCUAAGUGGUAUGGCGAACGAUCUUCUGGUUGGUAAAUUGACAAGUGUCUGAAUCACGCUGCAGCAGCCACUGGGGAUGACAUAUGGCGGCAGGGAGAGCCAGCGACACGCAGCCGACAAUCGAUUAAUCAGCGAAAAAUAAUAAGAAACAUGUUCACCCCCCCAACACCGCCCCCUCCUUCUCCUUCUCCGCCCUGUCCUCCGGGGAGAUGCAACUGCAACGGAGUCGCAGAGUCGGAAUCUGUGAAUGCGGAACUGAUGUCGCCCUGGCACACUCAAAAAAUGGGCAACUUCAACAUUUCGGGCAGUCAAAUAAAUAAGCAACAACAAACCCCAUUCGGUGGGGGAAUGGUACAGAAUAAUAUAAUUCUAAGAUGAAUAAAAGUUGGUGUUUGAGUUGUCUUUUCUUUUGGGGCCCCACACACACUCACACACUCACACACUCACACGCACAAUUGUCAAUAAUGAUGGAGGAAAGCCGAAAAACUGGAUAAGAAAAUCGCCGACCCUCGAAAUGAAGACAACAAAAGCGAACGAGAAUGAGGGAAAAAUGUCAGAGCCAAGAACCCAAAUGAGUGACCAAAACUCAUUACAACGAAACUUCAAAUUGCCCAAAUUAAUCUAA